GGUUAUAUAGCUUAGUUGGUAGAGCAAAUCAUUCAUGAUGAUUAGGUCUCCUGUUCGAAUCAGGAUAUAACUA
rnacentral:tRNA from 4 species